UGAGGAAUUUUGCGCAAUGGGAGCAAUCCUGACGCAGCAACGCCGCGUGGGUGAUGAAGGCCUUCGGGUCGUAAAGCCCUGUCAGGUGGGAAGAAUGUCCCGGGACUGAACAGGUUCCGGGAGUGCCGGUACCACCAGAGGAAGCACCGGCUAACUCCGUGCCAGCAGCCGCGGUAAUACGGAGGGUGCAAGCGUUAUUCGGAAUUACUGGGCGUAACGCGCGUGUAGGCGGUCCGGCAAGUCUGAUGUGAAAG
rnacentral:rRNA from 1 species